UGGGGAAUAUUGCGCAAUGGGCGAAAGCCUGACGCAGCGACGCCGCGUGAGGGAUGAAGGUCUUCGGAUCGUAAACCUCUGUCAAGGGGGAAGAAAGGCGCGGGUGUGAAUAAUACCUGUGAUUGACGGUACCCCUAAAGGAAGCACCGGCUAACUCCGUGCCAGCAGCCGCGGUAAUACGGAGGGUGCGAGCGUUAAUCGGAAUCACUGGGCGUAAAGGGUGAGUAGGCGGCAUAGUAAGUCAUAUGUGAAAGCCCGCAGCUUAACUGCGGAGUUGCAUAAGAAACUAUUGAGCUAGAGUGCAGGAGAGGCAAGCGGAAUUCCUAGUGUAGCGGUGAAAUGCGUAGAUAUUAGGAAGAACACCAGUGGCGAAGGCGGCUUGCUGGACUGUAACUGACGCUGAGUCACGAAAGCGUGGGGAGCGAACA
rnacentral:rRNA from 1 species